rnacentral:rRNA from 1 species
CCCACUGAUUUUUAAAUGGCCGCGGUAUUUUGACCGUGCAAAGGUAGCAUAAUCAUUUGUCUUUUAAUUGAAGGCUGGAAUGAAUGGUUUGAUGAGGAAGAUACUUUAUUAUUUUAAUUAAAAUAAUUUGAUUUUUGAGUUAAAAAGCUUAGAUUUUUUUAUGGGACGAUAAGACCCUAUAGAACUUUACCUUUAUUCUAUAUGUUAUUUUUUGGUUUAUUUUAUUAACAUGUAUUUUUAAGGUUGAAUUGGGGCGAUUUUGGAAUUUUAUUAACUUCCAAAUUUUAUUUUCACUAAUUGGUGUUUUUUUGAUCCAUUAUUAUGAUUAAUAGUUUAAGUUACCUUAGGGAUAACAGCGUAAUUUAUUUAGAGAGUUCUAAUCGAUAAAUAAGUUUGC